UAGGGAAUCUUCGGCAAUGGACGAAAGUCUGACCGAGCAACGCCGCGUGAGUGAAGAAGGUUUUGGAUCGUAAAACUCUGUUGGUAGAGAAGAACGUUGGUGAGAGUGGAAAGCUCAUCAAGUGACGGUAACUACCCAGAAAGGGACGGCUAACUACGUACCAG
rnacentral:rRNA from 1 species